GGUGAUGUGGAGCGUUCGGCA
rnacentral:miRNA from 1 species